rnacentral:rRNA from 1 species
UACGUAGGGGGCUAGCGUUGUCCGGAAUCAUUGGGCGUAAAGAGCGCGUAGGCGGCCAGAUAAGUCCGGUGUGAAAGUCAAAGGCUCAACCUUUGAAUGCCGCUGGAAACUGUCUGGCUAGAGUCCGGGAGGGGCGAGUGGAAUUCCUGGUGUAGCGGUGAAAUGCGCAGAUAUCAGGAGGAACACCGGUGGCGAAGGCGGGUCUCUGGGCCGAUACCGACGCUGAGGAGCGAAAGCGUGGGGAGCGAACAGG